rnacentral:rRNA from 1 species
AACAGGAUUAGAUACCCUGGUAGUCCAUGCCGUAAACGAUGAGAACUAGAUGCUGGUAGGGGAACCUAUCAGUAUCGAAGCUAACGCGAUAAGUUCUCCGCCUGGGAAGUACGGCCGCAAGGUUGAAACUCAAAUGAAUUGACGGGGGCCCGCACAAGCGGUGGAGCAUGUGGUUUAAUUCGAUGCAACGCGAAGAACCUUACCUACCCUUGACAUCCUGCGAAUCCCGAUGAGAGUUGGGAGUGCCGAAAGGAGCGCAGAGACAGGUGCUGCAUGGUUGUCGUCAGCUCGUGUUGUGAGAUGUUGGGUUAAGUCCCGUAACAAGCGCAACCCUUGUCCUUAGUUGCCAGCAAGUAAAGUUGGGGACUCUAAGGAGACUGCCGGUGAUGAACCGGAGGAAGGCGGGGACGACGUCAAGUCAUCAUGGCCCUUAUGGGUAGGGCUACACACGUGCUACAAUGGGGCGUACAGAGGGUAGCCAACCAGCGAUGGGGAGCCAAUCUCUUAAAGCGUCUCGUAGUCCGGAUUGGAGUCUGCAACUCGACUCCAUGAAGUUGGAAUCGCUAGUAAUCGCGAAUCAGCACUGUCGCGGUGAAUACGUUCCCGGGCCUUGUACACACCGCCCGUCACGUCAUGGGAGUGGAUGGUACCAGAAGCAGAUAGUUUAACCGCAAGGAAGACGUUUGCCACGGUAUGAUUCAUGACUGGACGAAGUCGUAACAAGGUAGCCGUAA